rnacentral:rRNA from 1 species
AUUGAACGCUGCCGGCAGGCCUAACACAUGCAAGUCGAACGAGUGGCGGACGGGUGAGUAAUGUCUGGGAAACUGCCCGAUGGAGGGGGCUAACUACUGGAAACGGUAGCUAAUACCGCAUACCAUCGGAUGUGCCCAUAUGGGAUUAGCUAGUAGGGGGGGUAACGGCUCACCUAGGCGACGCUCCCUAGCUGGUCUGAGAGGAUGACCAGCCACACUGGAACUGAUAUACGGUCCAUACUACUACGGAAGGCAGCAGAGGGGAAUAUUGCACAAUGAGCGCAAGCCUGAUGCAGCCAUGCCGCGUGUAUGAAGAAGGCUUGCGGGUUGUAAAGUACUUUCAUCGAGGAGGCGUUACUCGCAGAAGAAGCACCGGCUAACUCCGUGCCAGUAGCCGCGGUAAUUC